rnacentral:rRNA from 1 species
UAUGUGAUCGUCUCUCGCAUAUCAAUAAGCGGAGGAAAAGAAACUAACAAGGAUUCCCCUAGUAACGGCGAGUGAAGCGGGAAGAGCUCAAAUUUGAAAUCUUAAAGGGUCUCCCUAUACGAAUUGUAGUUUAAAGAAGUGUUUUCUGUUGAGGUUUUGGUAAAAGUUCUUUGGAAUAGGACAUCAUAGAGGGUGAGAAUCCCGUAUUUGACCUUUACUUUCAACUUUGUGAUACACUUUCAAAGAGUCGGAUUGUUUGGGAAUGCAGUCCAAAAUGGGUGGUAAAUUUCAUCUAAAGCUAAAUAUUGGCGAGAGACCGAUAGCGAACAAGUACCGUGAGGGAAAGAUGAAAAGAACUUUGAAAAGAGAGUUAAACAGUACGUGAAAUUGUCAAAAGGGAAGCGUUUGACACCAGUGUUGUUUUUCUGAAAAUCAAUUAAAGAACUGUUUAUGCUAAGCUGUUUAGACUUUAUCAGCUAUCUGCUUAGUUUUGAGCUUUUCUUUAAUGCACUUUUCAGUUAACAAGUCAACAUCAAUUUCUUUUGCUGUAAAAAAGCUUGAGGAAGGUGGCUUGAGAUUCGUCUUAAGUGUUUAUAGCCUCUUGCCUAUGCAGUCGGAGAGAUUGAGGUCUGCAGCGUAGAUCCUUCGGGGCUAAAUGCAUUUGUGCUAAGUUAUAGCAUUUUAUAGACAACUUGUUGACUAUGAUUUGUCUUGUAGCUUACUCGCCUAUGUUAUUUUACCUACGCUUAGGAUGUUGAGUAGCGACAUACGCAC